GUCUACCCCAGCCAUACAACUGUCAUCCACAUUCAGAGGGCCUAGUUUGAUUCUCUGCUGGUUCCCUCACUGUCCGGUCAGAGUUGGUGAGCUCCCAUUAGCUCAGAUAAGUUUAAACUAGUUUUUCUUUCCUUAGUAAAAUAGUGUGUGUGUGUGUGUGUGUGUGUGUGUGUGUGUGUGUGUGUGUGAAUGUGCAUUCUGUCUGAGUGUCCAGGGAGGUCAGAACAGAAGAGGGCAUCACAGUGCCCAGCACUUGAGUUACAGGUAGAUGUGAGCCUCCUGACCAUGGAAUUUGGGAACUAAACUCCAGUUCUCUGCAAGUGGUCUUAACAUCUGAGCUGUUUGUUUCUCAAGCUCUUUGAUAACUUUUUCUACAGGAAGGGAAUUUUCUUCAUUAGAGAAGGCAACUUGGCAGUGGAUACUCAAUCUAGUUAUGUUGAAUUUAAGACUACUUCUUGAACAUUUUGUGCAGUUUGAUUUCUUCCUCGUCUUAGUUUCUCAAGAUAUGCUCCAAAGAUCCCCCAGAAUCUUCAUUACGUGCACGGCUGUUAGAGGAGACAAACCUCGGGUUCUGUUGCAGACCACUGGGAGAAGAAUUUGUUGUAGCACACUUUCCUCAGGAUUUCUGGACAGUGACAUUUGGGAAGUGUGCUGUGUCUGGAUGUGUUCCAUCGAGUUAAUGGUAACAGCUUUUGUGUCUGCUGGCUCCACGGCAAGACACAGAACUAAGGAGACAUUAUGAAGCCCAUCCAUUUCCUAGUCCAGAAAAUGCAAAGUAACUAUUAAAUUGAGCCAGGGAAAAAUCUUUUACUUCUGCUUUUAAAUAUUAUCGUAUUUCUAUUAUUAUAUUUCUAUUAUCAUAUUUCUAUUAUUAUACUAUUAUAGCUGUGUCAACAACCCCGAGUUUCAUUAAGUUUUGCCUUCUAGAAACAUCAUAUUUCAACUGUAUGUACAUGGCUCUUCCCGGUUACAUGUAAGAUGUUUGCUGAAGAGAUGAAAUUGUGUAGGUAAGAUAGACAGGCUCUUCUGACCGAGAGCAUGGCUGAAGACAUUGUUCACCAGCUGUAGUUUGUACCUAUGUAUUUCAAUGUCCAUUUUUUUUAAAAUGUAGAUUCCCUAUGCCCAACAAUAAAGUCAAGGAGCGUCUCGUUUGCCCCCGAGGGCUUCAGCCAAAUAGCUGGCGGUGCAGUGAGAACUGAAACAUCUACUCAGAGUCUCCCUGUGAAACAUCUGUGGCUAUAUCCCGGAACUCGCUUUGUAGACCAGGCUGGUCUCAAAUUCACUGAGAUCCACCUGGCUCGCUUUCCUGAGUGCUUGGAUUAAAGGCGUGCAGCACCGCUGCCCAGCAAACUGAGAAGUUUUUAAACAAAGGAAGAAGCAGAAUUGAGAAAGAGAAAAUUACCUGAAUCAGGGACACUCAGCAAAGGACAAUGCGAUCAUGAGAAAGAAAGGUGCUGUAGCCGAGGAAUUAUUAAUUUUUUUUUGCAGAACUUUGUAAAUGACAGCUAUUCAUACCUGGCAGCUGUUCAUUUUAAUUGUUUACAGAAAGAUGCUGAGAAACAGAAAUUGUCAAGGGCAAGCAGAGGAAGGUGGAUAGAAACAGCUUCAUCGAGUAUUUGCAUCAUUCCAUCAAGGUCCCGUCACUGUUAGGAAGUUGUUCUAACUUGGUUUAUCAGAUGGAGAACUCAAGGCUUUGAGGUACUUGCAGACGCAUCACUGGAUGGACAAGGAGUGGAGCUGAAGCAGGAGCAUGUCUGGGUUUGACUUAUUUAUCCACGCUGCCUUGCCCUGUCUGAAAAGUGAAAUACAAAGCAAAGGCUUUUGUCCAGCAUCUCUAGGGCUCACAGCCUACCUCAGGGUUUCUGGCUGCCCCUGUCCCUAGAUUGUGAGUUGAACUCUCUUCCCUUGGAGUCUGCUCACUGUGCUGAGGUCUCACAUCCAUCAGCCACAGUUACCCAUACACAUCUCACCAGACUUGGCUUCUCUAUUUUUAGCUACAGACAGUUGCCUUAAAUUUUUAUGAGCUUAAUUUUUUUUUUACUUUGCUUCGUAGAAUGAGGGAAAUAUGGUGCACCCAAGGGUGCCCUGUAUAUGGCUGUUUAAACCCUCCCUGGCCAUUUCUGACAUUACAGAGAAACUCAGCAAUCAUCAUGGUUAUAGACAUGACAUUCAGUGUCCACCUAGCUAGCAGAGUGGUUGUCUAAAUCAAAAAGAGGAGCAAGGCAGCAGCAGGAAAGACAAAAGCCAAGUUCCCUCAUGGCAUUGCUUUCAAGAUUUCCAUUCCCCAGGCCCAGCAACUGGAACUUGGAACUGAAAAAGGACAUUGGCUCGGGUUUAUUCACAAGAGCAUCCUGGCAAAAGGGAGCCCCUCAUCCUGAGCACUUCUUGCUUUCCCUGGGUCAGCUCUUAGUUGGCCCUUUCUCUUGUCUGGUUAAAGAUGGGGAGUCAGUGCGGACUCUGUUACCGCUGUUGGAUGAAGAGCCAAAUCUUAUUCAUUGCUCAUUUCCCCAGGUUUGAGCCCCAGUUAUGCUGGCUCCAAACUCUGGGGUCUUCUAAAAUAAAGAUUGGACCAACUGA